ensembl:snoRNA small nucleolar RNA SNORA31
CCACAUCCACUGACAGGCCUUGAACUAUCUGAUGUUGUUCUUUUGGUUUGCACUAGGAUGUGGGGGGGGGGGGGAAUCCCUGUACUUUCUAUCUAUCUGUGUAGUAGCCCAAUUGAAUAAGGGAUUAUAUCU